rnacentral:rRNA from 1 species
AGUGAACGCUGGCGGUAGGCCUAACACAUGCAAGUCGAACGGCAGCACAGUAAGAGCUUGCUCUUACGGGUGGCGAGUGGCGGACGGGUGAGGAAUACAUCGGAAUCUACUUUUUCGUGGGGGAUAACGUAGGGAAACUUACGCUAAUACCGCAUACGACCUACGGGUGAAAGCAGGGGAUCUUCGGACCUUGCGCGAUUGAAUGAGCCGAUGUCGGAGUAGCUAGUUGGCGGGGUAAAGGCCCACCAAGGCGACGAUCCGUAGCUGGUCUGAGAGGAUGAUCAGCCACACUGGAACUGAGACACGGUCCAGACUCCUACGGGAGGCAGCAGUGGGGAAUAUUGGACAAUGGGCGCAAGCCUGAUCCAGCCAUGCCGCGUGGGUGAAGAAGGCCUUCGGGUUGUAAAGCCCUUUUGUUGGGAAAGAAAAGCAGCAGGUUAAUACCCCGCUGUUCUGACGGUACCCAAAGAAUAAGCACCGGCUAACUUCGUG